rnacentral:rRNA from 1 species
GGACUACCGGGGUUUCUAAUCCUGUUUGCUCCCCACGCUUUCGUGCCUCAGUGUCAGGAAUCAGCCAGAAAGGCGCCUUCGCCGCCGGCCUUCCCCCGAAUAUCUGCGCAUUUCACCGCUACACUCGGAGUUCCCCUUUCCCCUCUGAUCCUCAAGCCUCGCAGUAUAAAAAGCAAUUCCCCGGGUAAGCCGAGGGAUUUCACUCCUUACUUACGAAGCCACCUACGCACCCUUUAAGCCCAGUGACACCGAACAACGUUCGCCCCUCACGUAUUACCGCGGCUGCUGGCAC